AUAAGCCAACUAUGCGUCCAGUAGACCGAAGCAAAACCCCUGGAGACGAGAAAAAAAAAUGCAUUUGUGCCUUUCCUUUAUCGUCCCUGUGAGUAUCCGGUGCCCAAUGACAGGAUAGUCGAGAGAUGGAUGGUGGUGGCAGGCACAUAUCAGGUCCGCUCCAACGUGGUUGGGUAGGAAUAUCGCUAGAACUUGUGAACAUGUAGAAUCAUUACAGAUAUUUACAAGAUACCUAGUGCUCCAUGGUAAAAAGCCAGACCCCAUCUAGAGCAACAGCAGGAGCUAUAAGGUAUACCCAUAUUGGAUCCUCACUGCCUCAGCCAAAAGUCAAAUUUCUCAUGACAUAUGAAUGGCAUUAGCCAAUCCUCAUCAAAGUCCAUAAGCAGCUGUUGCAAGUGAAGUGACCAAUAGACCUAUCAAACAAAUAAACAAGAGGCAGCUUCAGCACAAAAACUUGACACGAAUAAUUGAAGAGUAAUGUAAUAAAAAUUAUGCAAGGAAUCCAUAAGAGCAUCCACAGCUCGGCAUCCAGAUUUUCAUCUUACCAUAUGAUAGUUUGAAAAGGUAGUUGUUGCCAAUUAGUGGAUAUGGAUGGACCAUGCUACCGUUGGAAGCACAUUAUAUUGUCUUCCAACAGUGUUUGAACCAUGAUCAAACUGUUGCGAAAGUGUAGAUUUGACGUUCCAGCGUCGCAUAUGCAGAUUUGAAUAAGCAACAUGCAGCAGUUUCUCAAAAGGCAUCAUAUAAAGGAAGAAUAGGCAGCUGAAGAAGAUGAGAGCAUUCUACCCACAGCCUUCAAGUUGGAUCCUCAAAUUCGCUUGCACAGACUGCAUCAGAAAACCAUCAAUCCUACUAGUUACAAGAUCCAGGUUGUAUAAACAAGAUUAUUUAGUUAUGCCUACAAAAGGCAUUAAACAAGAUUUAUAGAAUAUUUCUCACCUAAAAUUGCUUGCCAAUUGCCACGUCCCUCACAAUGAGGAAGUCAAAGUUCCAA